AUCUACGGCCAUACUACCUUGAACAAGCCCGAUCCCAUCUAAUCUCAGAAGCUAAGCAGGGUCGGGCCUGGUUAGUAUUUGGAUGGGAGACCACCUAGGAAGACCAGGUGCUAUAGGUG
rnacentral:rRNA from 1 species